GAUGAACGCUAGCGGCAGGCCUAAUACAUGCAAGUCGAGGGGUAGAGGUUGCUUGCAAUCUUGAGACCGGCGCACGGGUGCGUAACGCGUAUGCAACCUACCUUUAUCUGGGGGAUAGCCCGGAGAAAUCCGGAUUAAUACCGCAUAAAAUCACAGUAUUGCAUAAUACAAUGAUCAAACAUUUAUGGGAUGAAGAUGGGCAUGCGUGUCAUUAGCUAGUUGGCGGGGUAACGGCCCACCAAGGCGACGAUGACUAGGGGAUCUGAGAGGAUGACCCCCCACACUGGUACUGAGACACGGACCAGACCCCUACGGGAGGCAGCAGUAAGGAAUAUUGGUCAAUGGAGGCAACUCUGAACCAGCCAUGCCGCGUGCAGGAAGACUGCCCUAUGGGUUGUAAACUGCUUUUAUCCGGGAAUAAACCACGAUACGUGUAU
rnacentral:rRNA from 1 species